AAUUGGGCCUGUAUGGGCUUGGAAAGGGAUGGAAGGAUAAGGUGGAGGUCAGCCCACGAAGCGUGGAGUAACUAACCUAGCACGAAUUGUGCUUGUAGAUAUUCGUUUUCUGUUUGAAUUAGAGAUAGGAUUCUAGUCGGUUAAGAAGUUAUCUGUACGGGGCUAUAAAUAGCUACCUUUGUAAAUCUAUAAUCAUCAACCAAUCAAUACAACAAGCUACUUUUUUCCUAGUACUUACUUUCAAGCGACUUCGCUAUUGCUUUUCUCUUUUCCACGAGUUCGUGCGGGUUGGCAGGACUGCAUCAUCUUGAUCUCCGGCCGAUUCUGUAAGUUCCGUUUAUCGAGUAAUAUCUAAGCUUUAACUCCGGGCGUAUCGCUGUUGUUUUGUUUAGAUUAUUCACUAGUUAUCGAUAUUUGCUAGAUUCAUAGGUUUCUACCUGUUUUUCUAGUCUUUAUCACCAGUUAUCCAGCUAGGAAUCGGUAGUGUCGGCUUUCUCUGUUUUCCAUCGUUAAAUUUAUCUAUUGCCGAUUAGAUCUAUUCCUAGUGUUGUUAUCAUAGCUUUGUACCGUUUGUUUUAGUAAUUUCCCGUCUACAAGGCUACAGAAAUCAGGCUGUUUAAUAGCCGAUUUCAUCGUUACAGUAAAUCGGCCGAUUCGCUGAUAAACUCGCUCAAGAUCGGAAACUCAGCCGAUCGAGAUUUCUAGACCUGACACGUGUUCUUCCUUGCCAAUCAACAGGUCAGAUUGGCUGCCACGCCGCGUGAACCGCACCAGGGCAUUCACCCGAACAGGAGCUAAGCAGAUUCUCCCGGGUCAUGUGUCGGUUGCUGGGAUUCGGUUGACCGAUUUAUAGCGCCAACACACUUUUGGCACGCCCGGUGGGACGAAUACAACCGCCGUCAUGUCGAAAGCUGCUGAAGUCUCUGAAGAUAACGUCAUUGAGGUGACGAAAGCAGAUCUGAAGGACGACCAAAAAGAAGAUCUGGACAAGUAUAUGGAACAAGUCCAGAAAGCUUGCAUGAAAUCUUUCAGUCGCUCCAGGAGCGGGGAGACUAUUAAGAAAACUCCUUUCCCUACUCCCCGUCAGAUCACAAUUUCUGAGGAUUCGGAUAAAAUGUCCGAUAUGAUUCAACAAUCUAUUCAUCAUGCCUUCAUCGAUCAGUCCCCGGUGAUUUCAAACAUGGUACACAACGCCGUUGUCAAUUCCUUUGCUGGAGGCAUACCCCAAGGAUACAGGGGACCGACAUAUUUUCAGCCGAUUCCACCAAAUCAGGCUCAUCCGCAUUUGGCUUCACAGCCGAUUCAAUUUCCUGGCGGGAGUUCAGGCGCGUCUGCAUCAUCAACUCCGUUGGGAUAUGGCUCCAUGCAGCUGUCCUCUGCUCCGUUCCCUCCAAUCAACCCAUCACCCUGGGGGGCACCUUCAGCCACGGCCGGUUUGAGUCAAUCGGCCAGUCAAGGAAACCCUCCGUUCCAGGCAUCCUCCCAGGCGGCCAUUCGGCCGAUCAUACCACCAUACCAGCCUGUCACUCCGGAGGUCAACAAGAUAGCAGCACUCAUACUAUGUGAUGAAACGAGUGGUUCAUUCAAACAACCGACCUUUACUACACAGCCGGAUUACACUCAGAUGCCACCCUUUCAUCAAUCCCCUUUUAUUCAGCCUCCAAUUUUCCAGCACGUGCCGAUACCUCAGCCAACAGUUCACCAGCAACAACCAGAUUGGUCGGCACGAAUUGCGGAGGUGAUGCAAGAACAAUUCAGCUUAAAGCCGAAAAUGCAAACUUAUACCUACAGAACUCCAUACCCGUCCACAUAUGACCUAUUGCCGUUCCCCCAUCGGUAUAAAGUUCCUGACUUCACUAAAUUUUCGGGGAUGGACGAUACUUCGACCGUGGAGCAUGUGAAUAGAUUCAUCAUCCAAUGCGGGGAGGCAGCUACACAAGAUGCCCUAUGGGUACGUUUGUUCUCGUCAUCUGUGUCCGGAUCGGCCUUCCAAUGGUUCACAACUUUGCCACCAAACUCGAUUAUCACAUGGGCCGAUUUAGAAAGACAAUUCCACAAGUACUUCUAUGCUGGAGUCCAUGAGAUGAAGCUGUCCGAUUUAACCAGCCUCCGGCAGAGGAGUGAUGAGCCGAUACCCUCGUAUAUACAGAGGUUUCGGGAAAUCAGAAACAAGUGCUACUCCCUAGCUCUAACCGAUGCGCAGUUGGCCGAUAUAGCUUUCCAAGGCCUUCUGCCACACAUUAAAGAGAAAUAUGCUUCAUAAGAGUUCGAGAGCCUGAGCCAGAUUGUUCACCAAUUAUCCGGACAGGAGGUGCGUCCAUUCGAUCCACGGAGGAAUUUCCAGAAGAAAGUGGCGUUCCUGGAAGAAUUGGAGGAUGAGGAAGAUGUCGAAAUCGGACUUGCGGAGUGGAUCAAGGGGAAGAAGCCGAUAUCAUGCCCAUUCGGCAAAAAGGAGCCAGAAGCAUUCGGUUUUGAUACAACUAAGGCUGAUAAAAUCUUCGAUCUUCUCCUCCAGGAAGGGCAGAUUAAGCUCUCCGCAUACCAUACAAUACCUUCUGCUGAACAAUUAAAAAAGAUGAAGUAUUGCAAGUGGCACAAUGCCACAUCACAUGAUACCAACGAGUGCAAAAUCUUCAGGCAACAGAUACAGUCGGCCAUUGAGCAAGGCAGACUCAAAUUUGAAGUGCCGGCAAAACCGGCUAAACCUAUGAAGAUCAACCAACACCCCUUUCCUACCAACAUGGUUGAUACGGGGAAAAAUUCCCUCCAAACAAAAGUGCUGACGUCCGAAUCGGCCAAAAAGAGUGGUGCUGUCGAUCCCAGAAAUCAAGCUACGCCUGAAGAUGUCAAGGGGAAGCGGCGAAUGGAGGACGAUGAUGGUGAGUCAGAAGGACCACGCAUUACUUCCCAAUUCCUGCUCCAAAAGUACCAACGACAACAUUAACGCUCAAGGUCCCGAGAAGAAGCGAUGCGUCGGCACGAGGAGCACUGGAGAUGCCCGUUCUUCAUUCAUUGUUGGGAAAAUAAUCUCAGGUUACCUUCGGCCGACACUUGCCCAGAGUGCAACGGUCCCUAUCGGGGCAAUCGACCGUUCAACAGGUCCCGCUCCAGGGACGGAAGGCCAGAACCGAUCAGCAGGAAUUGGCGCAACCAAGAUGACCAGCGCCCUCCCGUGCGUGAUCGGCUGGGGGGCAGAAGUGACCGACAUGAUCGGUCGGAAGAUAAACGCCAUGAUAGGCAGGGGGGGCAGGGCUGAUCGACAUGAUCAGUCAAACAACAAAGCCAGCGUUCACAGCCGACUCGAAGACAUGGCCGAUGCUCGGGUAAUGGACGAGAACCCGUUAGGACGCGAACCGGAGUGGGAACGCGCCAGGACAGAGGGGAGGCCAAUAAACCCCAGGUGGUGCCCCGACGGAUUGACCAAGUCACAAAAACGGAGAAUCCAGCGUCUCCGCCAAUGGGAGCAACAAGAGGAAGAGCAACAGAGCACGUCAGACAAGAAGGAAGGAAGGCCUCAGGUAUGGCGCCCCAAAAGGAACGAUAAAAGAGACGAUGAAUCGGCGGGCGACGAAUCGGCAGCCGAGAUCGGCAUGGUUUUCAUACUGCCGAUGGAGUUCAUGACUCCCGCCAAUCAACAUGACGUAUCGGCGAUAGAAGAACAGACAGCACAGUUGGCUUUGGAGCCAAUGAUGGCCACGUUCGAAAAACCCGAAGAUGACGAACGACAACAUAUGAAGGCAUUGUUCCUUAAAGGGCAUGUUGACGGUCGCCCCCUUACUAGAUUAAUGGUCGACGGAGGAGAUGCUGUCAACAUUAUGCUGUACGCUGUACUCCAGAAGCUGGGGAAGAGCGACGACGACCUGACCAGGACGGACAUGAUGCUCAAGGACUUCGAGGGCAAGGUGUCAAACGCUCGUGGUGCUCUCUGCGUUGACCUCACCAUCGGCAGUAAGACCCUUCCUACCACAUUUUUCGUUAUUAAUGGCAAGGGAUCCUACAAUAUGCUUCUUGGCCGAGACUGGAUACACGCAAACUGCUGCAUCCCGUCAACUAUGCAUCAGUGCCUUGUACAAUGGGUCGGCGAUAACAUCGAGGUGGUCAAAGCCGACUCCGUGUACAGCAUUGCAGCAGCCGACACACAGCAGUGGAGCUGCGAAACCGUCAGAUGCAUAUCAGGCAGGGUGUGGGAGACCGAUUUCCUGAAGGUCACCGAUUUUGGCCUACAGCCGAUCCGAGCAGUCGGCUCCGGAGACUCAGAAUAGAUGGAUCAGUUCGCCCGAGAAGAUGGGAAGCUAGGGCACGGAUUCACGUCGGCCGAUUCAUUAGAGAUGAUAGACUUAGGUGAUGGAACCAAACCAAGGCCGACUUUUAUUAGUGCAAAUUUAGAUCCAGAGUACAAGUGUAAAUUGACAAAUUUAUUAAGAGAAUUCAAGGAUUGUUUUGCUUGGGAGUACCACGAGAUGCCCGGUUUAGAUCGAUCUAUCGUUGAACAUCGGCUACCCAUAAAGCCAGGGUAUCGGCCGUACCAACAACCCGCACGGCGUUGCAAUCCUAAAAUUUUACCAGACAUAAAAGCUGAAAUAACUCGGCUAAUCGAAGCAAAAUUUAUUCGGCAAUGUCGUUAUGCCGAGUGGAUUUCUAAUAUCGUGCCAGUAUACAAGAAAAAUGGGAAGUUACGCGUUUGCGUUGAUUUCAGGAAUCUUAAUCAGGCACACCGAUGGAUGGUUACCCAAUGCCUACGGCCGAUGUAUUGAUCGACGCCGCUGCGGGACAUAAAAUCAUUAGCUUCAUGGACGGAAACGCCGGAUACAAUCAAAUACUUAUGGCCGAAGAGGAUAUACCCAAAACAGCCUUCAGAUGCCCAGGCCAUCUUGGUCUGUUCGAGUGGGUGGUGAUGACUUUCGGCUUGAAGAAUGCUGGCGCUACAUAUCAGAGAGCCAUGAACUACAUUUUUCACAAACUCAUUGGCCUCCUGGUAGAAAUCUACAUCGAUGAUGUUGUGGUCAAGUCCAAAAGUCACGAGGAACAUCUGGCCGAUUUGCGAAAAGUGCUAGAGUGUACCAAAAAGCACGGCCUUAAGAUGAAUCCCAACAAAUGUGCUUUCGGCGUAUCCGCUGGACAGUUCUUAGGAUUCAUGGUGCACGAACGAGGAAUAGAAGUCAAUCAGAAGACCAUAGCGGCCAUCAACAAAGUCGCGGCCCCACAGAACAAAACCGAACUGCAGUCUCUAAUCGGCAAGGUGAACUUCAUUAGAAGAUUUAUAUCUAAUCUAUCUGGACGGAUUCAAGCAUUCAUGCCACUUCUGAAGUUGAAGCCAGACCAGGAAUUUAUAUGGGGAGAAGAACAGUGCAAGGCGUUAGAAGAUAUCAAGCGAUACUUAAUCUCACCGCCAGUCUUGGUUCCCCCUCAAACUGGUAAGCCGUUUAAACUGUAUUUGUCAGCCGAUGAAAAAGCUAUUGGAUCGUCUCUAGUCCAAGAGUUUGAAGGCAAAGAGCGGGUAAUUUAUUACAUCAGUAGAAGACUCCUGGAUGCUGAAACAAGAUAUCCUCCAGUAGAGCGUUUGUGCUUGUGUCUUUACUUCUCAUGCACAAAACUCAGGCACUAUCUACUGACAGCAGAAUGUGUAGUCGUAUGCAAAGAUGACGUAGUAAAAUACAUGCUAUCACUACCGAUAUUGAAAGGACGAAUCGGCAAAUGGAUCUUGGCUCUAUCAGAAUUUGACCUGCGGUAUGAAUCGGCAAAAGCCGUCAAAGGUCAAGUCAUGGCCGAUUUCGUCGCCCAGCACUGUGGACCGGAGAUCGCCCUCGUGGAACUGGCGCCUUGGCAAUUAUUUUUCGACGGAUCGUCGUGCGGGGUCGGAUCAGGAAUCGGCAUCGUUCUCAUAUCACCUCGGGGGGCAAGCUAUGAUUUUUCUCUGCCGAUAGAAACCGCCGCUACUAACAAUCAAGCAGAGUACAGAGCUGUAUUAAAAGGGUUACAAUUAUUGAGAGAAGUCAAGGCCGAUUCUGUCGAGAUCUUCGGAGAUUCUAUGCUUAUUGUGGAUCAACUGACUGGAAAGGCUGAGUGCAAAGAUGACGUAUUAAGAAUUUAUUACGAAGAUUGCUUACAGCUUUUAAAGGAAUUCAGAUCGGCAGUAAUCGAGCAUGUUCCAAGGGACCGCAACGAAGAAGCAAAUAAACUCGCCCAGCACGCAUCUGGGUAUCGGCCAAUUCUGGGCGCUAUGGCUUUAGAACUCACAGCCGACGACUGGCGUAAAGAAAUUGCCGAUUACCUGAAGGAUCCGUCUAAAAAGGUGGAGCGACGAGUACGCUUUCAUGCCACCAAAUAUGUACUGCUCGAAGAUGAUCUGUUCUAUCGAACGAUUGACGGAGUCCUUCUUAAAUGCCUUGGGACAGAAGAGGCCAAGACUCUAAUGGGAGAAAUCCAUGAAGGGGUAUGUGGAGCACACCAAUCGGCACAUAAGAUGAAGUGGAUGAUCAGGAACAACGGGUACUAUUGGCCUACGAUCCUCGAAGACUGUUUCAAAUAUUAUAAGGGUUGUCAAGAAUGUCAAAAGUUUGGAAAUGUCCAACGUGCACCCGCGUCGGCCAUGAAUCCCAUCAUCAAGCCGUGGCCGUUCAGGGGGUGGGGAAUAGACCUUAUCGGCCAAAUUUACCCACCGUCAAGCAAGGGGCACAAAUUUAUUCUGGUGGCUACUGAUUACUUCACCAAAUGGGUGGAGGCAAUCCCAUUGAGAGCCGUGACAUCGGCUAUCAUGGCCGACUUCGUAAGGGACCAUAUCGUCUACCGAUUCGGCAUCCCUCAAACUAUAACAACCGAUCAAGGAACAAUGUUCACAUCGGGGGAAUUUGAGGAGUUUACGACCGAUAUGGGAAUCAAAUUGUUAAAUUCUUCUCCGUAUUACGCCCAAGCCAAUGGUCAAGCAGAAUCCUCCAACAAAGGGAUAAUCAAGUUGAUCAAAAGGAAAAUCGAAGAACAGCCGAAGAAAUGGCAUCUAUGUUUGACUGAGGCCCUGUGGGCGUACAGGAUGGCUUGUCACGGGGCUACCAAAUUGUCUCCUUACCAGUUGGUGUACGGUCACGAUGCAGUGCUACCAUGGGAAUCAAGGGCAGGAUCAAGACGCAUUUCGCUUUAGGACCAGUUAUCGGCCGACGAUUACUCAUCACUGAUGAAAGGGGAACUCGACGAUUUGGCUAGCCAACGACUGAGGGCUCUGAUAAGUAUCGAAGAGAAUAAAAAAAGAGUAGCCAGGUGGUACGAUUAGAAGGUCAAAGUCAAGCAGUUCUCCCCCGGAGACUUGGUAUGGAAGUUAGUGUUGCCGAUCGGGUCGAAAGAUCCUAAAUUCGGAAAAUGGUCCCCUACCUGGGAAGGGCCGUAUAAAAUCGGCAGAUGCGCUCCAGGAAAUGCUUACAUUUUGGACACAAUAGAAGGAGAAGAAUUCACUAGAGCUCUGAAUGGAAGGUACUUAAAAAGAUACUACCCUAGCAUAUGGGUCGGAGCGUAAGAAAUCAACCGUAACACGAUCACACGUAGCCGAUACAAAUCGGUUUAAAACACAUAAGUCGACCGGAUCGGCUGAUUACAUUCAUUCGGUACGGGCGACGGAUUACAUGGCCGACAAAACAUUAGUCGCCCUUAGAACAAAAAAUACAAAAAACAAACUAGUUGUUCUUCUUCUGGGAUGCCUUCCCAUUCCGCUCCAACUCGUUCACAACACGGAGGCGCGAGGCCUCUGCCGCCGCAAGGACGACUGUCCGAGGAAGCUGACGGUUCCUAUCGGUGGGAGGUCGCUGGCCGCCGUUCCUCUCCAUGAAGUCCAGGAUCGUGCGGGCUGCCGAGGUGACAUCAUCUCCAGGUUCGUCACGGCGACGGCCCCUGACGGUUGGAGAUCGGCGAUUACCUUCACUCACCACGGAAUCCAAGACCGCACGAGCUUCGGCAGUAAUGUGGUCUUGGAGUUCCUCUCGGUGAGCCAGGAUCAGCGCCUUGUCCUCCGAUGACAAUGGGUCCUCAGAGUGGAUACACUCGAUGGCGCGCACGAGCUCCGGGCUGAGACGUUGAGGCUGAAACAAAGAAGGGAUAAGGAGAAAAAUUCUUUUCCUAAGAUCUAAGGGAAGGUAAAGGUCAGGGCUUCACCUGAUUAACAGAAGAAGAGGACGAUGAAGCCAUGACGAAGCAGUCGCGCCGAUGAGAAGAAGAAGAGAAGUGAAAUGAGAGCCAAGUUAAUACUAUCGGGAGUAGGCGCCGAGGUCGAUAUUUAUGGGAAAAUGCGUGGAAAUCUGGUGAGGCCACGUCCCAUCGGUAAUAAGGAAGGCAGUAAAUAGAAAGGCCAUCGCGAGGGGUGGUCAAAGAAGACAGUAAAUGUUCAUACAAAAACGGUCAGUGUUUUACAGAUUACCCAGAAGGGUAUCGAUAGCCGUGAUGGCCCGACGCCGGAUCUGAUCGGCGGAGUCAAGAACCCGUUGGUCUUCUUCUGCCGAUCCGGGGACCUCCGUUGCACUGCGGUGGAGUCUCAGGGCCUCAUGAGCAAGACGCUGCCUCUCCCGUGUCAAAUCGGCAAUAGCAGAGGGCAGCUCUUGGAGUUUGUUCUCUUCGGCACUGAUUGCUUUAGUCACUUGCUCCAUCUCCUUGGCAAGUUCCGCCCUCCGACGUUUGAGGCGGUCUAUUUCACCGAUGAUCGCCGGGCGGGAGUCUUCUAGAACGUGGAUACGCCGAUGCGCUUCUUGAGCCUGACGCUUGAAAGCGUUUUCAUCUUCACGAGUCUUGGCCAGUUUUGCGCGAUCGGCCAUGUGGCGAAGGGCCCUAAAGACUGGGAUCCUCAUGGACUCAAUGAAGGCCGCCGGCGCCAAGGCCUCUUCCGCCUCCUCUGAUACUCGUCCGCUGACAUCACUAAAGAGUUGCCGAAUCGGCGAAGCAUCUUCUACUAAUCGGCCGAUGUCCGCCUGAAGGAGGGAUCGGAUAUUGGUAAGUUUAGCUCGGACGUCAUCAGGAACGGAGCUCAGAGCGACUUGGCGGGAAGCAACUUCUUCGUCAUCAGAAAGUGCAACCGCAAAGGAAAAGAGGCUGUUAUCAGGAGAGUCUUGUUCCUGAAGAGAAUGAAGAAAAAGGAUGAGUCAGCGGGGAAUGAGAAUAAAUCGGCUGGGUGAAAGCCGAGUUAGGAACUCACCAUCUUGAAGCGAAUUUCCUCAUGCUGCGCUUGUAAAGCCGUCGUGCCUUGCUCAGUAGCCUGCACCAUGGGUUCAUCGGAUGAGGAAGAUUCCACGAUAAUCGGCGAGGAGCUUGGACCAGCUCCCUGAGAAGAGAUCGGUGGUCGAGGAACGCUCGGUGUGCCGAUGGCCUGUGUCAGAGGAUUGAAUAAGCACAUUACGCAAAUACUCGCGGGAAAUCGGUAAGAUAAGCACUAUACCUCAGAAGGUGGGAAAGAGGGCGUGACGAUGGUUGGUUGAGCUGCUGCCGAUUGUUGCGCUUCCACAGGAGUGCUUUGUGUAGACUAAGGUUAAGAAGGGUUAAUAACAGAAUUACAAUCGGGAACAGUAAGGCUCAGGUUUACCUGUAUAGCUUCCAACAGCAAUGACGCGGCGGCCGCCCCAGCUUGCGUAAUGACUUGACUAUCAGCACUUUGAAUGACCUGAGAAGGUGGUGCGGUCGAAGUUUCUGCCGAUACAAGCACAGGAGGAUCCGCCGAUUCCGUACGAGCCCGGACUCGGCGACUGGUUUUCUUGGUGGUCCUCUUAUGAACCUGCUUCGAUCGGCCAGCGAUCACGUCAACUGACGGGGCGUUGUAGCCGAUAAGAGGAUAGGUGGUGUAAGGAUGGCUCUCUAUUAACUGUCCGCUGUGGCUGUGCGUUGGAGGGGCCCGAUUCCCGGCCUAAAGAAACAAUAAAAUCAUUAGUACUCAAUCAUGUUAAGAAGAAUAAAAAUCGGCUAUAAGAAGUACCUCGGCGUUUGGGUCGAUGUUGGCCGGAUCCAGAAGAUUGCAGUACGCCGAUGCUGAGUUGCAGAAGAGAAAUUGCUUCCAUUCGGCCCACCAGAGUUUGAACGGCUGGACGACAAAUGGAAAUAAUAGCCAAUCAUUCAAGUUAAUUGUACUGGAGUCCGGAACUCGGUCUCACAACCGACCGUAAUCCAGGCCAGAUGUGAGCUCAUCUCUAAAUUUGAUUCGGCCAGCAAAAUACACUUGAAUCGGCAGUUGACCCAUGCCGAAUUGUCGUGCUGCAGCAGACGGGUUGUAGAAUUCGUACGUAGGGGCAUCCUUCCCUGAAAAGAAGUUGGCCGGUAGGAGUCCUGGUUUGAUCAGCCCUUCAUAAAGAUCUUCAUCAAAUCGACCAGAAGUCGAAUCGAAGCAGGUGGGAGCUCAAAGACUGGGUUGUCUCGCUGGUACGGAAACCAAAUGGUUGCGUCUUCAUUAAAUCCAUUGUAAAAGCACCGAAAAUACUCGGCUACCUUUGUAGCAGAAUACGCACAACCUGGAAAAGCUGACGCCGCUUCGCCAAAGGACAUGCAUCGGCGACGUUCGGUGGGGUCCUCCGCCGAUUCGAUAUUGGGGAACGUCAUGUGGUCCACCGGCUGCCGGGUGAUUCUGCUCAUGUAAAGGUUCAACCAUAGAUUGACAAACCACCAAGGCCCGCCUUGAUUGCCGAUCAGUUCUCCCUUGGAUAGUCUUGUGCCGAUUUGAUGAAGCAUGUGGUACACGGCUCCCAGUAGAUGUUUCCCGAGAGGGAUAUGGUCCCCUCUGGACAGUGCUUCAGCUAAGGCUUGGGUGUUGGUUGUUGGGCCGGCGGCUCUUCCGCAAAAGAAGUGUUUUUCUAGCCACAUCAUCAGGAAAGCUGUGUGCUCCCUGUUCUCAACGGUCCCGGUCUUCUUAUUACUUCUGAUGAAGCCUUUCCAACCGCCGAUUCCCCUUGUGUCCAGCCGAUGUGACGUUGUGGUCAAAAGGCGGAAGGGUGUGUCAGGGGAGGAUAUGUCCAGGCCGGUCAACAGGACCACAUCGGCCAGUGUGGGGGUCAUAGGACCGUGCCCAAAUAAGAACGCAUUAAGUGCAUCAGACCAAAAAUAAGAAGCCGCCAUCACUAACGGCUCAUUUUUCUCCAUUUGAGACAGGGAAAGGUUGAUGCACUGGCUGAUUUUCAGCUCGUCCCAUGAGACGCUCCUUGACGCGGCCAUCCGUUGGUACCAUUCCCUCCAACCUGGGGUUUCAUUCGGCCAGGAUCUGAAAGUACCCACCCAGUGAUCUAAGUUCAUAUCGGACCGUUUGAAGGGUAUCCGGUCAGUCUCCGAAUUUACAAGAUCUAUCGGAUCUGGGUCUCCCAUGGGACCGAGACAAACAAGGCCAGGACUUCCCGUAAGGUGAAUAGUAAUUCUAGGCCUAACCGCCUAAAAAAGAAAGGGAGUAAGGAAAAGUAAGAAACAGAUCUAAGGUAAAUACAUUGCCGAUAGAGGAAGGAUUCGGUAUUUACCUCUGGGAUGAAGUUCUGAGUGAUCGGUGUGGUCGCCGAUGCGGAUGCGGACGAUAGGGCCGCAAUGGGGAUCGCCGUUGGGAUCUCUGACGGAGCUCCUUCAUCUGUGGAAGGAGUGACGGUCGUCGCCACCACUACCGCAGGCGCUAACUCUGGGGCAUCGCGUGCGGGAGAGUUGCCGGAAGGAGCCGCCAUUAGAAGAAAAAAGGGAAGAAGUAAUAGGAGGUGGAGCUAGAAAGCUUCGGCGGCAAGGGAAAAGUGCUGAAAGAGGAAGAAUGCGCGCGCGCUGGGAAAAGAGACGUGAGCUUGAAGAUGAAGUGCGGUGAAGCGCUAUUUAAAGGACACCUGAAGGGGGGGUAAAAAUGGAAUUUUCACCGUGCCGGCGCUUCGAGUUUUUCGGGGGUAGUGGUUGUCGUGGGCGCCUGUUUCGAAAAAUUGCAAUGAUCAGCUGGGAGACCGUGAAACGGAAGGAUAUUUUCACUGCGGCCGUUUCGGAGGAGAGGUUAUAAAGAAUUUCGAAGUAAAAGACUGUGUUUUACUCCGAAACUGGGGGGCAUGUGUUGACGCCAGAUUUCAUCACUAGUAGAAUCGGCGCCAAGAAGAAAGGAAAUCGAAGAAGCACGGUUGGGAAUCGGUCAAAUGGUGCUAUAGUGCGGAAUCGGCUGGUGACCUUUGUCUCGCUUUUGGCCGGAUACACCAGAGUCCCAAUCGGUAAUCUUUUGCCGAUAAGGAAUCGGACGAUUAGGAGGGGGGAUUAAUUGGGCCUGUAUGGGCUUGGAAAGGGAUGGAAGGAUAAGGUGGAGGUCAGCCCACGAAGCGUGGAGUAACUAACCUAGCACGAAUUGUGCUUGUAGAUAUUCUUUUUCUGUUUGAAUUAGAGAUAGGAUUCUAGUCGGUUAAGAAGUUAUCUGUACGGGGCUAUAAAUAGCUACCUUUGUAAAUCUGUAAUCAUCAACCAAUCAAUACAACAAGCUACUUUUUUCCUAGUACUUACUUUCAAGCGACUUCGCUAUUGCUUUUCUCUUUUCCACGAGUUCGUGCGGGUUGGCAGGGCUGCAUCAUCUUGAUCUCCGGCCGAUUCUGUAAGUUCCGUUUAUCGAGUAAUAUCUAAGCUUUAACUCCGGGCGUAUCGCUGUUGUUUCGUUUAGAUUUAUUCACUAGUUAUCGAUAUUUGCUAGAUUCAUAGGUUUCUACCUGUUUUUCUAGUCUUUAUCACCAGUUAUCCAGCUAGGAAUCGGUAGUGUCGGCUUUCUCUGUUUUCCAUCGUUAAAUUUAUCUAUUGCCGAUUAGAUCUAUUCCUAGUGUUGUUAUCAUAGCUUUGUACCGUUUGUUUUAGUAAUUUCCCGUCUACAAGGCUACAGAAAUCAGGCUGUUUAACAGCCGAUUUCAUCGUUACAGUAAAUCGGCCGAUUCGUUGAUAAACUCGCUCAAGAUCGGAAACUCAGCCGAUCGAGAUUUCUAGACCUAACACGUGUUCUUCC
rnacentral:lncRNA from 1 species